rnacentral:rRNA from 1 species
UACGUAGGGAGCAAGCGUUGUCCGGAAUCAUUGGGCGUAAAGCGCGCGUAGGUGGCCUCAUAAGUCCGCUGUGAAAGUCAAAGGCUCAACCUUUGAAAGCCGGUGGAAACUGUCGAGCUCGAGUCCGGAAGAGGCGAGUGGAAUUCCUGGUGUAGCGGUGAAAUGCGCAGAUAUCAGGAGGAACACCAAUGGCGAAGGCAGCUCGCUGGGACGGUACUGACACUGAGACGCGAAAGCGUGGGGAGCAAACAGG